rnacentral:rRNA from 2 species
UACGAAGGGGGCUAGCGUUGUUCGGAAUCACUGGGCGUAAAGCGCACGUAGGCGGAUUUGCCAGUCAGGGGUGAAAUCCCGGGGCUCAACCUCGGAACUGCCUUUGAUACAGCAAGUCUAGAGUCCGGAAGAGGUGAGUGGAAUUCCUAGUGUAGAGGUGAAAUUCGUAGAUAUUAGGAGGAACACCAGUGGCGAAGGCGGCUCACUGGUCCGGCACUGACGCUGAGGUGCGAAAGCGUGGGGAGCAAACAGG